GAACGAACGCUGGCAGCAGGCCUAACACAUGCAAGUCGAGCGGCACCUUCGGGUGUAGCGGCGGACGGGUUAGUAACGCGUGGGAACGUGCCCUUCUCUACGGAAUAGCCUCGGGAAACUGAGAGUAAUACCGUAUACGCCCUUUGGGGGAAAGAUUUAUCGGAGAAGGAUCGGCCCGCGUCUGAUUAGAUAGUUGGUGGGGUAACGGCCUACCAAGUCUACGAUCAGUAGCUGGUUUUAGAGGAUGAUCAGCAACACUGGGACUGAGACACGGCCCAGACUCCUACGGGAGGCAGCAGUGGGGAAUAUUGGACAAUGGGCGAAAGCCUGAUCCAGCCAUGCCGCGUGUGUGAAGAAGGUCUUCGGAUUGUAAAGCACUUUAAGUUGGGAGGAAGGGCAUUAACCUAAUACGUUAGUGUUUUGACGUUACCGACAGAAUAAGCACCGGCUAACUUCGUGCCAGCAGCCGCGGUAAUACGAAGGGUGCAAGCGUUAAUCGGAAUUACUGGGCGUAAAGCGCGCGUAGGUGGUUUGUUAAGUUGAAUGUGAAAGCCCCGGGCUCAACCUGGGAACUGCAUCCAAAACUGGCAAGCUAGAGUAUGGCAGAGGGUGGUGGAAUUUCCUGUGUAGCGGUGAAAUGCGUAGAUAUAGGAAGGAACACCAGUGGCGAAGGCGACCACSUGAGCUAAUACUGACACUGAGGUGCGAAGGCGUGGGGAGCAUACAGGAUUAGAUACCCUGGUAGUCCACGCCGUAAACGAUGUCGACUAGCCGUUGGGAUCCUUGAGAUCUUAGUGGCGCAGCUAACGCAUUAAGUCGACCGCCUGGGGAGUACGGCCGCAAGGUUAAAACUCAAAUGAAUUGACGGGGGCCCGCACAAGCGGUGGAGCAUGUGGUUUAAUUCGAAGCGACGCGAAGAACCUUACCAGGCCUUGACAUGCAGAGAACUUUCCAGAGAUGGAUUGGUGCCUUCGGGAACUCUGACACAGGUGCUGCAUGGCUGUCGUCAGCUCGUGUCGUGAGAUGUUCGGUUAAGUCCGGCAACGAGCGCAACCCACAUCCCUAGUUGCCAGCAGGUUAAGCUGGGCACUCUAUGGAAACUGCCCGUGAUAAGCGGGAGGAAGGUGUGGAUGACGUCAAGUCCUCAUGGCCCUUACGGGUUGGGCUACACACGUGCUACAAUGGCAGUGACAAUGGGUUAAUCCCAAAAAGCUGUCUCAGUUCGGAUUGGGGUCUGCAACUCGACCCCAUGAAGUCGGAAUCGCUAGUAAUCGCGUAACAGCAUGACGCGGUGAAUACGUUCCCGGGCCUUGUACACACCGCCCGUCACACCAUGGGAGUUGGGUUCACCCGAAGGCCGUGCGCCAACCUCUUCGGAGGGGGCAGCGGACCACGGUGAGCUCAGCGACUGGGGUG
rnacentral:rRNA from 1 species